UUAAAUUCUAUGAAAAAGAAAGUAGAUAUGAAUCGUGUUUCAGCGAGCUGGGGGUUGGUGGAAGCCUAGUAACAACAUUUAUAUUGAAGAGAGCUUUGGAGAAGAAUAUCUGAACUAAUAGUAGGAUAUUAGGUAAUUCCCGCCUUAAGGGAUUAGAGUGGAUAAGUUUUAUUUGCAGUACCUUACGUGCAGCGAAUUUUAUCAAUUAGAGUGGUAACGCGGAAUAUUUCGUCUCUUGG
rnacentral:ncRNA from 1 species